AGAAACUUCCAUUCAAUAAUGCAACAGUUUGCAGACAAUUAGAUCAAAUUUAUAGAUGGAAAAUCUUCAAUACAAUUGCAAGUUUAAUUCCUUCAAGGACAUCUAGAAUCUCAGCCAAUGGAGGAUCCAAAUCGAUGUCAAGAUGAGUAGCAUACACGACUACAAUCGAACUAGAAGAGUCCCUAAAAACUGAAGCUAAACCUGUUGAAGGAAGAUGAGGGAUCCACAUAGCGUUUGUGUUUAAAGCAAUUGAACCUUGAGAAGGAGAAGGAAUUAUUGAUUUACAAAUUCCAUAUGGACCAACAGAAGAUAGCAAUAAUCUCAAGGAUUUUCAGAGGGCAAGCUUCAUCAAGGGCACACACCAACUACCUAUAAAGCUAUCAUUCAAAUUUGCAACAAUCAGAGGGAUAUCUAAAGAUUGGAACCAUACAUCUCUUGCUCUUGAGCAAGUGAAUAAAAUAUGAUCAUUGGAUUCCAAGGAAGAUGAACACAUUGGACAAUCAGCUCAAUUGUGAGUUCCACCACUCAAAUUCAAGGCUGAGACAGAGAAGAUCUCUUGGUGGUUCACUGAAGUAAAACUGAGGAUUUGUGAGGAGCAGCUUGCAUUGGAGGAUCUUCAAAGAUCUCAUACAAAGUUUGGAGAAACAUUAUUGUGGAAGUGAGAGGAGCUCAAACUGAGGGGGAGCCUAAGUUGAAAUUGAAGAGUAAGCAGUACGUGAACACUGAAGAGAGAGUCCAUCAGAUAAAUACUUUAUUGUAAUUGCUAAAUCCUUUAUAUAGUGUAGUUUCUUUCUAUCGGGCAUACAACCCUCCAAAUAUAGGUGAACA